UGCAUCGAUAUCGCAUUUUCUUACCAAACUGCAAUCACAGCAAAACUAUGUCACCACCUUCUUAUAAAUAGGAGUAACUAUUAUGUCACAAUCCAUCACAUAAACAUUAAAAUGGGGUCUAAGACGACUUGGACUGCUGAGGAAAACAAGCGGUUUGAAAAUGCAGUGGCCGAGUACGACAAGGAGACGUCGCCGGGAAAGUGGCAGAAUAUCGCGGCGGCCGUUGGUGGCGGGAAGACGGUGGAGGAUAUCAAGUGCCACUACCAGAAGCUUGUCGAAGACAUCCAACAGAUAGAGGCUGGGAAUGUGCCGCUGCCUAACUAUAAGGAAUAUUAGGAAAGUUCAAUAAAUAUUUAUCAGGAACAAAGGAUGAAAUUUCUUAAUUAGCAAUCAAUUUCAAGUAUCUAUGGAAAAUAAUGUUGCUCGCGGCCGGUUAUUAACUUUUAUGUAAUUUCCUGUUUUUAGAUUAUUCUCAAUGAAAGAUACUCCUAUGAUUUACUUUU